GGAGGUGGAGGGGAAUGCAUUAUGCAUCCAAGGGAGAAUUAUGCCCCAAUCCCAAAAAUGGAUUUCUCCAACCCUUAAAUUAGAUCUGCAAACGAAUUUUGCACUCAAUGUAUUUCAUAUUUUUGUCAUUUUGGGAUUUGACAUGCUUUUCUUCACAUGCAGGUUUCGCGUUUCUCUGUUAUAUUUUAUUACAUGGUAGGAUGCAGGAUAUUGAACUUAUGCACAUGUGGUAUGCUCUAGAUUUAGCUGUUCUUGCGCUUGGAGUGAUGGAAAGGACUAUAUGACUGGUGAAAGAAAAAGUUUUCAUCAAGUUGCAUUGACCAUUUGAAAGAUCUACAGAACCAUUUGGAGGCUGUCAAUGAUCAAUGACAUCCCUCGCAAGAUCAUGAUGGCGAAUGUCAUAAGUUCGGUUUUACAUAUAGAUGAUCUUUCUCUCAAUUUGGCUCAUUGUGCCUCACCAUGGAGCUAUUCUGAAUCACAUUACACAUGUGCUUCAGAGCAAACUGAUCUAACAGGUGAAGAGGGAAACAAAUUAGUUGUAUCUUUCAUGGGGAAACUACUAGAUAUAUUACAUCACUGUCUUCCUUCAACUAUAAGUUUAUAACUGAACUAGAUCAUGCUCUAAGUGAUGGCGUAAGUAGGGGUGGAAGACAAGCAUUGGAGUGGAAAGCGUCAAUUGCUAAACAUUUGAAGAGUGGGAAUGGCAGUUGUCAAUUUUGCAGCACCUUCUUUCGUUAUCUGAACGCCAGUGGCAGUGGAAAGAGGCAUUAACUGUAUUACGUCCCGCACCAUCUAAGCUACUGAACCCGAACCAAAAUAUGGUCCCAAACUGCAAAAUAGUCUGCAUCCCCACACCGACCAUUUUCCCUGGGGACAUUAUUGUUGUAACCUGCUCCUGAUCCUUCUCCAAUCAUAGUAUAGAAACCAUCAUCAAUAGCUCGAUAAAAGGCUUCCGAACUCAUGCCCGAAAGAAGCACAGCUCCAUACUGUCAUCAUAACUAAGAACUUCGAUCUUAUGUGAGACAAGUCAACCAAGAAAGUUACAAGUUAAGAGCUGAUCCAAUGAGAAAAACUUUUGAUAGAAUGCAGACUUAGAAAUUGUUAUGUCACAAAUUCCUUGAAAGCGUAAAAAGCCUCUUGAUAGCAACUUCAAACUCAAGAAAACAACAAAGGAAUGUCAUGCAGCACAUAUUAACAACACUACAUGAAGAAAUAUAACUUAAACUUUCUGUAUGUUACGCAUAAGCUUAAAUGAACAAGCAAAAGAGACGAG